rnacentral:rRNA from 1 species
CCCUUAGAUGUUCUGGGCCGCACGCGCGCUACAAUGAUGCAGGCAACGAGUGCCGCUCCUUAGCCGAAAGGCUUGGGGAAUCUUGAAAACUGCAUCGUGCUAGGGAUAGAUGAUUGCAAUCGUGCAUCUUGAACGAGGAAUGCCUUGUAAGCGUGAGUCAUCAACUCGCGCUGAAUACGUCCCUGCCCUUUGUACACACCGCCCGUCGCUCCUACCGAUUGGAUGGUCCGGUGAAAUCUCGGGACGGCGGCUUGGUCGCUUGCGUCCGACUGCUGAAACUUGAUUAAACCAUAUCAUUUAGAGGAAGGUGAAGUCGUAACA